UGAGCGGAGAUAUAUGGAGCUUGCUUUAUAUAACUUAGCAGCGAACGGGUGAGUAACACGUAGAUAAUCUAUCCUAUACUGGGGGAUAGCCCGAUGAAAGUUGGAUUAAUACCGCAUAUAGCUAUAUAGUUGCAUGAUUAUGUAGUGAAAGAUUUAUUGGUAUAGGAGGAGUCUGCGGCACAUUAGCUAGUAGGUGAGGUAAAGGCUUACCUAGGCGACGAUGUGUAGCCGGUCUGAGAGGAUGAACGGCCACAAUGGAACUGAGACACGGUCCAUACUCCUACGGGAGGCAGCAGUGGGGAAUAUUGCACAAUGGGGGAAACCCUGAUGCAGCAACGCCGCGUGAGUGAAGAAGGUUUUCGGAUUGUAAAGCUCUGUUAGCAGGGAAGAGGAAGGACGGUACCUGCAGAGGAAGCCACGGCUAACUACGUGCCAGCAGCCGCGGUAAUACGUAGGUGGCAAGCGUUGUUCGGAAUAACUGGGCGUAAAGGAUGCGUAGGCGGUUAAACAAGUUAUAUGUUAAAUAUAUAGGCUUAACCUGUAGAAAGCAUAUAAAACUGUUUAACUAGAGUGCAGGAGAGGUAAGUGGAAUUCCUAGUGUAGCGGUGAAAUGCGUAGAGAUUAGGAAGAACACCAGUGGCGAAGGCGACUUACUGGACUGUAACUGACGCUGAGGCAUGAGAGCAUGGGGAGCAAACAGGAUUAGAUACCCUGGUAGUCCAUGCUGUAAACGAUGGGUACUAGGUGUGGGUUGUGAAUAACAAUUCGUGCCGUCGCAAACGCAAUAAGUACCCCGCCUGAGGAGUACGAUCGCAAG
rnacentral:rRNA from 1 species